rnacentral:rRNA from 1 species
UACGGAGGGGACUAGCGUUGUUCGGAAUUACUGGGCGUAAAGCGCACGUAGGCGGAUUUGUAAGUGAGGGGUGAAAUCCCGGGGCUCAACCUCGGAACUGCCUUUGAUACUGCAAAUCUCGAGUCCGGAAGAGGUGAGUGGAAUUCCUAGUGUAGAGGUGAAAUGCGUAGAUAUCGGAAGGAACGCCGGUGGCGAAAGCGGCCCGCUGGACCUCUUCUGACGCUGAGGCGCGAAAGCCAGGGGAGCGAACGGG